rnacentral:tRNA from 1 species
GCGGGCGUGGCGGAAUCGGUAGACGCAAGGGACUUAAAAUCCCUCGCCUUUUGGUAUGCGGGUUCGAGUCCCGCCGCCCGCACCA